rnacentral:rRNA from 1 species
UACGUAGGCAGCGAGCGUUGUUCGGAGUUACUGGGCGUAAAGGGUGUGUAGGCGGUUGUUUAAGUUUGGCGUGAAAUCUCCCGGCUCAACUGGGAGGGUGCGCCGAAUACUGAAUGACUAGAGUGCGGGAGAGGAAAGUGGAAUUCCUGGUGUAGCGGUGAAAUGCGUAGAUAUCAGGAAGAACACCCGUGGCGAAGGCGGCUCUCUGGGACGGUACUGACGCUGAGACGCGAAAGCGUGGGGAGCGAACAGG